rnacentral:lncRNA from 1 species
CAUUAAUUUAUGAUUACUUUCUAUUAUCCUUGAUUUGGUUGUCCAGAAUCAUCAAAAAAAUUGGUAUAACGGCAGCAGGUUUGCGAGCACUAUUAUUGGCCUCUUUGUGUGUUCGCCAUGGGGGAUUUCAGCCUAGUGGGUGCUCCCUUACUUGAAAAAUUGAUGCGGUCGUCUCUCUUCCUCCUUGUUGCCAACAUUGUACCACCCCACUCUGUCGCUACACUUCCUGCGAGAGGGGAGAGAGAGGGGAAUGUAGUCCUAGAGAGCAUAUAUAAUGUUACGGAACCGUCAUUUCAUGAGUACAAGUGGAAAAGUAGUGACGUCCAAUGUCAUUGACACCAUAAACCAACAUAAUUUCAGUUGAAGACUAUAGCAGAAUUAUGAUCAUCAAUUCAUCAGCGAUGUUACAGUUAAAAUUAGGUAACCAAAUGAAACGCGGAAGAUUUAGAGUACAUAAACAGGAAUUGCUACAUAUGUUCUAUUACUUGUAAACCAUAUCAUAUAUAAGGAGUAAAAGGGUGGGGAGAACAUGGAGUUGGUCUCAUUCACUGGAAUAUACUAUUCCUAUUAAAGGGACUAACAUUUGGAAACAGAAGGGGUGCGGGAUCACUGGAGGUGCACAAGGAAGCAUAAAUUUGACCUUGCGAGCAAGCAAGCAAACCAAUUUACUUGUGAAUAGUAAUACUUGUCAGACCAACAAUGGUUGCUAAGUUGCACUAACCGUCUACCACUGCAAGUCAAAAUUCAUUUUCACGCAGCAUGCAACAAACAUGUAGUGUAUUGUUUGAUCGGUGUCAGCAUGCAAGUUCAACUCCCAGUCAUCGUGGAAUCAUAUCAUCAUAGCCACAAGAAAGUGACAAACCAAAGUGUAAGCGCUAAAACUAAAGAUAAAGCGAGAAAACUCACAAUAUAACUGCUAUCAUUUUUGCAGCAGAACAACGCCUCAGUGGAUCAUGGGGAAGAAGCACACCUAGAUCAGUAAGGGUAUGGAAAUAAAUUGGGUAUCCAUCUCAGGAAUUCACAAAAAAAGGCAUGGCAACAAAUCAACCAUAGCAUACAAGAGUAUACAGAUCUUCAUAAUCAAGGCACCGCUAGCUAGCACAAACCUGUAAAGAAAUGAAUUAGUAGACUAAUUCACACACUGUUUUUCUCAGCUCUUUCCCGUCACCCCUCGGCCCCCAUCACAUCCAGAUCCAACGAAAGAGGUAACUGUCAGCGUACAACAUCGGACUGAAGCACAGUUUAAAACCUGGACAAAUCCAUGUGUACAGGAAGCCUUGCAUCCUUAGGCUACGUAAUUUUAUAGGUGAGUGCGUAGUUUUGCCAUCUAGGAACUGGCAAGGACAAAGUCGGAGAGGUAGAGCCUAUGGGCGGAGGAGUGGACGUCCAUGAUGAGGUUGAAACCGGCAGCCACAGAUACAUCUGGAACACAACGGCGGCGGUGUCGGCGGCGGCGGAUAUGACUCGAGCUCGCUGGCGGCGCCGGCGACUCGAGUAGUCGAGACUCAGGGUAUUGGAGUUCUGAAGGAGUUCACAUGUCGUUCGUGUCUGUAAAGUUGAGUGAUUUUUGGUUGAUGCCGCUUCACCCUGAGUUUGAAGUUUGGAUGGUGCAUUUUGUUAGAAUAAAUGUCGUUUUAUUUUAGGUGAGUUUGUUUGAGUCUUCAUGUCAUUUAGUUUAUUUUGUUGUCUAGUCUAUGUAAGGAAUAUUAUUUUCAUAUGAAAUAAAGCUGAUGGCCGUGUUGUUUAUAUAUAUAUAUAUAUGCUCACUCAAUGGAGUUGUGAAAUAUUUGUACAUUGUAAUUUUUGAUUCAAUGUAUAUGAAGAUUCUUGAAUUUUUAUUUCUGAGUAGACCAUGAAAUGAUUUAGUAAAAUGCAGUAGGUCGUUUGUAAAUGUAUUUAGUUACAAAAACUUUAAAGUACGUUAAUAAUAUUAUGGCUGUCAGUUUUAUCCAUUUAAGUGCUUGUUAAUUGCAGCAUUUUAACAUAGCCGUAAACCAUCUAUUGAGUAACAGAUUGUUUAAUUUCCUAAAGAUGGGGCAGCAUUCCAAAUCCCAUCUGUAUAGAAACUGAACAAAUUGGAAAGAAUAACAAAUAACUUCAGUCUCAAAAAGAUGAAAUAAUUUAUGUCAUAAGAACCUGAAAUAUCUUUUUUUAUGCAAUCAAUACAUUAUGUUAUUAGCCAUGGGUUUGAGAAGCAUUACAUGAAGAUAAAGUACGAAAAUGCGACAAAGAAAGUAAACAACUUGUUUAUGUGCAGUUCUAAGAAUGGAAAGAUAUACGAUGAGAGAAAUUUUGGAUGACAAAUAACAAGAGUAGAAACGGCAGUAAGGGCGAGCGUACCAUUUUAGGUAAAGCUAUCUAGUCCAACUUGGCAGCAUUGGAGAAACCAUUGAGCAGCACCCUCUCCUUGACAGGAUAAGCAUGAGAACCAGGAUAGGCAUCCAUCUUGCACUUGACGAUAGGCGAGUUCCCGCGGAGAUGGAUGACCAGCUUCACCAAUAUCCAGCUCUCGAACAAGAAGGCUAAGAAGCAUCAGUGUUAACAUCAAAAGAGCAACCCAUGCAGCAUCAAACCCACGAUAUUCCCACAUGUUUCUUGUUCUGAAUUAAGAGGCCCUUGCACACAUUCAUCAAA